AUCCCCAACCUUUUGCUGCUGCUCUGCCCUCACCACCCAGCCGCCUCCCUUGCAGUUUCAACAGCUCCUGCUCAGAAAUGGAUUACACACACCAACAUACCAACAAACCAACAACAAUUAUUUCAGCCUGGCUGGUUCGUGAGAGGACAUAGCAAGAAGUCUGCAAGCCAGGAAGAGGCCCUCACCAGGAGAUGAAUCUGCCUGCAUCUUGAUCUUGAACCUCCCAGCCUCCAGAACUGUGAGAAAUAAAUGUUUGUUGAUUAAGGAAACAAAUAAAACAUAAUUACAAUACAAUCAAAUAUAUGAAAAAGGAGUGUGUAUGUGUGUUUCUGCGUGUGUAUACCUACAAAGAAAAUAAGACUAAAAAACUAUUCUAAAAAUAUUCAUAAGAGUUAUCUCUGAAUUUUGGCAGAAUGUGCAAUUUGCUGCUUCUUUGUAUUUUUCCAGAUUUAUCAUAUCUUCUAUAAUUAACAUGUUACUUCUGUAAAUAGGAAAAAUAUGCAACAAAAGAAAUUAUGCUAGUGUCUUUGAUAAAUCUAAUAAAUCUGGAAGUGUUUGUAUUCUAGAUUGAUUAGCUAUUA
rnacentral:lncRNA from 1 species